UACGAAGGGGGCGAGCGUUGUUCGGAUUUACUGGGCGUAAAGGGCGCGCAGGCGGCUUUUCAAGUCAGGCGUGAAAUCCCCGGGCUUAACCCGGGAGCUGCCUCCGAUACGGCAUGACUUGAGUCCGGGAGAGGGGAGCAGAAUUCCCAGUGUAGCGGUGAAAUGCGUAGAUAUUGGGAGGAAUACCGGUGGCGAAGGCGGCUCCCUGGACCGGUACUGACGCUGAGGCGCGAAAGCGUGGGUAGCAAACAGG
rnacentral:rRNA from 1 species